UCCACAUCUGAUGAUCCAAGGGGACCAGAAGGACCUCUCCCAGUGAUACCAGGAGAUCCAGUCUACGUUUGAGUGUUCCGAAGUAAGUGGGAUCAGCCGAGGAGAGAAGGACCCUACGAGGUGGCAACAGCCACAAACACGGCCGUCCAAGUGAAAGGAAGCAAGACGUGGUAUCAUCUGAACCACUGCACCUAAGUCCCGACGGAGAGAAGGACACAACCAUACAGAGAUGAGGACACAGAGGAUGCUGAUUCACCAGGCGGGACCCUGGAGGGAGCAGGAGCAGCGGAAACGAUCAAAGCGCCGGGGAGGAAUCAAGAAAAUGGCAGACCAGAUACAAGCCAAGAUACAACGAGUGCAUCAACUAACGCACUCAGAAGAAGCACCAGGGGAAAAGAGCCUGAAAAGAAAAGAGACAAACAACCAAAGUUUCCUCCAGUAUGGCCAGAAACCCCAGAAGUGGGGGGGGGUAACAUAUCUGCUACUCCUGAUGAUAUACCUGUUGGGGCAGACCUCUUUGACAGAAGCCCUCCACAGUGGGACCCCGAAGUAUCACCUACAGAAUGGGAACAUCUCUUCCCUAAAAAUUUACACCCUUCCAGAUGGAAGCCCAGUCCGGCCUGAGGAGGGAGCCUCAUGGGAAGAAAGAGGAGGAGAGGCCUCACAAGGAACAGAAGGAGAGACCCCACAAAGAGGAGGAAAAGUCCAGCAAGCUGAAGAAAAUGGGGAUUUCCCCAAAAUUGACUUUUCAGCUCUUGAAUGGUCUCCUUAACAGACACUUGAAGUUAGAACCACAGAAGAACAAUGACAUUGACAUAACAGAAGUAACAGUGAACGCUAGUAUAGAAACAACAGACUCACGCACAAUCAAGAUGUAGGGUGGAAACAGGAAGAGAAGAGAGGAACCAGUCAAACAAUCUAGAAAGACUGACAAGAUUAGAAUCUCUGUUCCACCUCAACACAUAACUGAAACAGGAGAACAGAAGACAAAAGGAUCAAACCCUUACCGGAGAUUGCAUUCGGUGGAUGGACACAUCAUCAAACGAAGGGAGGAGUCAUUUGGGACUCAAAAGGAUGUGACCUGACGUUAACCAAAGAAGUAGACGAGUGGGUGCUCACCAUGAAUCAGAUUGAACCAGUUGAAGGUGAAGAAUUAAUAGUUGAAAAUAACGAGAACAAUAUUGACCGAAGGGAGUAGCUCCUCAGUCAUUAGAAUUGGUCUUAGGCCAAUACCUAAACAGGAAGAGCCUGUGGUAGCUAGAAAGCAUCAGAACCGGGAGGGUUCUUUACUGACAUUUGGAACUUUUUGAAAAACUCUAAUGAUAUACCUCAAGACAAGAACAUUGUAAAAACGACAUCUAUCUCAGAAUCUGAACCACUCAAGGACACCACACGAGAAGAAGUAGUGAAGAAUGAGUGAAUAGAAAAACUGAACAUUUGCUAUCUGAGAGUCUCCUCAUUGAAAACAUCCGAAGUUCUUCAAAGGACCUGAGCCCUAGGACCAUGCCUCAGGACUACCUGACAUGAUGACUCUGCUGUCCCCAGUCCUCCUGGCCGUGCUGCUGCUCCAGUUUCAACUUCCACCUGACUGUGCUGCUGCUCCAGUUUCAACUGUUCUGCCUUAUUAUUAUUCGACCAUGCUGGUCAUUUAUGAACAUUUGAACAUCUUGGCCAUGUUCUGUUAUAAUCUCCACCCAGCACAGCCAGAAGAGGACUGGCCACCCCACAUAGCCUGGUUCCUCUCUAGGUUUCGGCCUUUCAAGGGAGUUUUUCCUAGCCACCGUGCUUCUACACCUGCAUUGCUUGCUGUUUGGGGUUUUAAGCUGGGUUUCUGUACAGCACUUUGAGAUAUCAGCUGAUAUACCAAGGGCUAUAUUAAUACAUUUGAUUGGAAAUUGUUUUUAACAUAGUCUUUAAAAGUAAUAACUAUAAUACAGGCCUACCGUAUCCGUAAAGAGCUCUUCAAUCCAUUCAUGUUGCUUCUUCGUC
ensembl:lncRNA